rnacentral:rRNA from 1 species
GAUGAACGCUGGCGGCGUGCCUAAUACAUGCAAGUCGAGCGAACAGACGAGAGUGCUUGCACUCUCUGACGUUAGCGGCGGACGGGUGAGUAACACGUGGGUAACCUACCUAUAAGACUGGGAUAACUUCGGGAAACCGGAGCUAAUACCGGAUAAUAUUUAGCUUCGCAUGAAGCAAUAGUGAAAGACGGUUCUGCUGUCACUUAUAGAUGGACCCGCGGUGUAUUAGCUAGUUGGUGAGGUAACGGCUCACCAAGGCAACGAUACAUAGCCGACCUGAGAGGGUGAUCGGCCACACUGAGACUGAGACACGGCCCAGACUCCUACGGGAGGCAGCAGUAGGGAAUCUUCCGCAGUGGACGAAAGUCUGACGGAGCAAUGCCGCGUGAGUGAAGAAGGUUUUCGGAUCGUAAAACUCUGUUGUAAGGGAAGAACAAGUACGUUAGUAACUGAACGUACCUUGACGGUACCUUACCAGAAAGCCACGGCUAACUACGUG